UACAGAGGGUGCGAGCGUUGUCCGGAAUCACUGGGCGUAAAGGGCGCGUAGGUGGCGACCCAAGUCCGUGGUGAAAGCUCGUCGCUUAACGACGAGUCGGCCACGGAGACUGGGUGGCUCGAGCACUGUAGGGGCAGAUGGAAUUCCGGGUGUAGCGGUGGAAUGCGUAGAGAUCCGGAGGAACACCAGUGGCGAAGGCGACACGCUGGGCCGUACCUGACACUGAUACGCGACAGCAUGGGGAGCGAACGGG
rnacentral:rRNA from 1 species